rnacentral:rRNA from 1 species
GAUGAACGCUAGCGGCAGGCCUAAUACAUGCAAGUCGAACGGUGUCUUCGGACAUAGUGGCGCACGGGUGCGUAACACGUAUGCAACCUACCUUACAUUGGGGGAUAGCCUUUCGAAAGGGAGAUUAAUACCGCAUAAGACAGUAGCUGGGCAUCCAGCAGCUGUUAAAGAUUUAUCGAUGUAAGCUGGGCAUGCGUCGCAAUUAGCUAGUUGGUGAGGUAACGGCUCACCAAGGCAAUGAUUGGUAGGGGAACUGAGAGGUCAAUCCCCCACACUGGAACUGGGUACCGGCCAGGCUCCUACGGGAGGCAGCAGUAGGGAAUAUUGGGCAAUGGACGCAAGUCUGACCCAGCCAUGCCGCGUGCAGGAUGAAGGCGUUAUGCAUUGUAAACUGCUUUUAUACAGGAAGAAACGACUCUUGCGAGAGGCAUUGACGGUACUGUAUGAAUAAGCACCGGCUAACUCCGUGCCAGCAGCCGCCGUAACAC